GGGGCUAUAGCUCAGUUGGUAGAGUGCUUGCUUCACAUGCACAAAGCCCUGGGUUUGCUCCCCAGCACCACCA
rnacentral:tRNA from 1 species